CCAAUAGCGUAUAUUAAAGUUGUUGCAGUUAAAAAGCUCGUAGUUGAAUUUCGGGAUCGACGGGUCGGUCGCGCCUCUGGUGUGUACUGGCCCUGUCGGUUUCUCCCUUCUGACGAACCACGAUGUCAUUAAUUUGGUGUCGUGGGGAAUCAGGACUGUUACUUUGAAAAAAUUAGAGUGUUUAAAGCAAGCAUUCGCUUGAAUACAUUAGCAUGGAAUAAUGAAAUAGGACGUUUGAUCUUAUUUUGUUGGUUUCUAAGAUCGACGUAAUGAUUAAUAGUGAUAGUUGGGGGCAUUAGUAUUCAAUUGUCAGAGGUGAAAUUCUUGGAUUUAUUGAAGACUAACUACUGCGAAAGCAUUUGCCAAGGAUGUUUUCAUUAAUCAAGAACGAAAGUUAGGGGAUCGAAGACGAUCAGAUACCGUCGUAGUCUUAACCAUAAACUAUGCCGACUAGGGAUCGGAUGAUGUUAAUUUUUUAAUGACUCAUUCGGCGCCUUACG
rnacentral:rRNA from 1 species